CCUACGGGAGGCAGCAGUGAGGAAUAUUGGUCAAUGGACGAGAGUCUGAACCAGCCAAGUAGCGUGAAGGAUGACUGCCCUAUGGGUUGUAAACUUCUUUUAUAUGGGAAUAAAAUGUUCCACGUGUGGGAUUUUGUAUGUACCAUAUGAAUAAGGAUCGGCUAACUCCGUGCCAGCAGCCGCGGUAAUACGGAGGAUCCGAGCGUUAUCCGGAUUUAUUGGGUUUAAAGGGAGCGUAGGUGGAUUGUUAAGUCAGUUGUGAAAGUUUGCGGCUCAACCGUAAAAUCGCAGUUGAAACUGGCAGUCUUGAGUACAGUAGAGGUGGGCGGAAUUCGUGGUGUAGCGGUGAAAUGCUUAGAUAUCACGAAGAACUCCGAUUGCGAAGGCAGUUCACUGGACUGCCACUGACACUGAGGCUCGAAAGUGUGGGUAUCAAACAGGAUUAGAUACCCCAGUAGUC
rnacentral:rRNA from 1 species